AUUGAACGCUGGCGGCAGGCCUAACACAUGCAAGUCGAACGAGUGGCGGACGGGUGAGUAAUGCCUGGGAAACUGCCUGAUGGAGGGGGAUAACUACUGGAAACGGUAGCUAAUACCGCAUACCAUCAGAUGUGCCCAGAUGGGAUUAGCUUGUUGGUGGGGUAACGGCUCACCAAGGCGACGCUCCCUAGCUGGUCUGAGAGGAUGACCAGCCAAACUGGAACUGAGACACGGUCCGGACUCCUACGGAGUGCGGCAGUGGGGAAUAUUGCACCAUGGACGCGAGCCUGAUGCAGCCAUGCCGCAUGUAUGAAGAAGGCCUUCGGGUUGUAAAGUACUUUCAGCGAGGAGGCGUUACCCGCAGAGGAAGCACCGGCUAACUCCGUGCCCGCAGCCGCGGUAAUAC
rnacentral:rRNA from 1 species